rnacentral:lncRNA from 10 species
CAGAAACAAAAAGCUCUUCUGGUUCCCUGUCUUCCUCAGCCCCCAUCCAAUCUGCCAGCUAGUUCCUAUCUUUAAGAUCUAGCUGCCUCCAAACCUCCCCAAAUGCAUCUUCUUCUGCGUCUUCACCAUCAGCAGCAUCUCCUGCCUGGACAACGGAGGGACCCUGACUGCUCCAUCUGCAUCCACCCUGCCCCCAACCCCCAUUACCACACAGAAGCCAAGCUUUUCCAAGGAUAUCUUCCUUGCUGGGCUUCCAAUUCUUGGACACACAACUGUAAGGAACUGCCCAAAUCUCAUCCUUAGCGAAGAUCAAACAAGAAUUAAACAAGCAAGUGAUAAACAUCGUAUUGACUUAACCUAACCACAUCAGGUUAAUUCUAAAGGGCAUCUUCUACUGGCUGGUGACGUGGUCUAAUGGAGUGAGUUGAAAUUUCAUCAUAUGCUCAUUGGACAAGCGGGACUCAUAUGCCCAAGCGUUGUUAAUAAAUAAUCUAGAAUUGCCGGACAACUAGGAGAAGCCAAUCUCCAGCAGGACUUAGGAGCAGUAGGGCACACAGUGGCCAUAUCUUGAUUGACACUCUCUUCAAAGGUCUACUAAUCCUAAGAUCUAUGUGAAUUGUUUUAUGACACAAGGUCUAUUCCGGGGCAUGGAGGUGAUGGGGCUGCUGUCCUUUGCGCCCAAGGAAGCGACAGGCAGCCUGCUGAUCAAUAGCUCCUCUGGAUUAGGGGACAGGAGAUGAGUGAAGGAUUAAGAUGCGGGACCACCAUAGGAAGGGCCAG